rnacentral:rRNA from 1 species
CCUACGGGAGGCAGCAGUGAGGAAUAUUGGUCAAUGGGCGCGAGCCUGAACCAGCCAAGUAGCGUGAAGGAUGACUGCCCUACGGGUUGUAAACUUCUUUUAUAAAGGAAUAAAGUGAGGCACGUGUGCCUUUUUGUAUGUACUUUAUGACUAAGGAUCGGCUAACUCCGUGCCAGCAGCCGCGGUAAUACGGAGGAUCCGAGCGUUAUCCGGAUUUAUUGGGUUUAAAGGGAGCGUAGAUGGGUUGUUAAGUCAGUUGUGAAAGUUUGCGGCUCAACCGUAAAAUUGCAAUUGAUACUGGCAGCCUUGAGUACAGUUGAGGUAGGCGGAAUUCGUGGUGUAGCGGUGAAAUGCUUAGAUAUCACGAAGAACUCCGAUUGCGAAGGCAGCUUACUAAACUGCCACUGACAUUGAUGCUCGAAAGCGCGGGUAUCGAACAGGAUUAGAUACCCUGGUAGUC